GACGAACGCUGGCGGCGUGCCUAACACAUGCAAGUCGAGCGAGUGGAUCUCCUUCGGAAGAGAAGCUAGCGGCGGACGGGUGAGUAACACGUGGGCAACCUGCCUCAUAGAGGGGAAUAGCCUCCCGAAAGGGAGAUUAAUACCGCAUAAGAUUGUAGCUUCGCAUGAAGUAGCAAUUAAUGGAGUAAUCCGCUAUGAGAUGGGCCCGCGGCGCAUUAGCUAGUUGGUGGGGUAACGGCUCACCAAGGCGACGAUGCGUAGCCGACCUGAGAGGGUGAUCGGCCACAUUGGGACUGAGACACGGCCCAGACUCCUACGGGAGGCAGCAGUGGGGAAUACUGCACAAUGGGGGAAACCCCGAUGCAGCAACGCCGCGUGAGUGAUGACGGCCUUCGGGUUGUAAAGCUCUGUCUUCAGGGACGAUAAUGACGGUACCUGAGGAGGAAGCCACGGCUAACUACGUGCCAGCCGCCGCAGUAACAC
rnacentral:rRNA from 1 species